CUGCAACCUCUGCCUCCUGGGUUCAAGAGAUUCUCCUGCCUCAGCCUCCUGAGUAGCAGGGAUUACAGGCACCCACCAUCACAGAGAUCAUGUAAUUGGAAUUCAGUCCCAUUCUGUCUGAUUCAAAAGCCCAUGCUUGUUCAUCAGGGACAGGGUAAAGUGAUGAAAUAAUGCCCUCAGCUCAGGGGCAUUGCAGAAGUCAGGUCAGAGUUAUCUCUUCUCCCUGUCUGUUCUGGGGAGCUAGCUUCCAGAAUAAGAAAGGUAUAGGGUGGUACCAGGUGAUAUUGAGGCACAGAGUUGCCUGAAGUGUCCUGAGAAGAUUCCACUGCAUUAUUUAAAGAAUGAAGGAGGAUAGAGGGGGAAGUUUAGGGCUCUAAGAUAUCUCCACCUUUGCCAAGGAUCUGAAGAUCACAGAUAAAGGAAGAGGACCUUGAAGAUUCGGUGCACUUUAGCUGAGCCUCCACACUGCCACCAAGACAUGCGCAGAGAAACUUUUCUCUAGGGGGCACUUCUGCAGAGCACUGACGAAUGGAACCAAGGAAAAGAAUGUGGGGGUUGAGCGCCUGCAUCCACCCUCUGCUAGAAAGGGUUGCUUCCUCCUCCAUACUUUCUGUUUUCCACUGGACUUUUCAGAGAUGUUUUAAAAACCAUUUAUUGUUGUAAACAUUGAACUAAUGAAACAAAACAAUAAAACUAAAUGUUUAGAAAUGUU